AAGUGAAAAAGGCAAAUCAUGGGAAACUGUGAGACGCAAAGCCAAGGGCCUGAACCACUAAAGUUAUUUAGAAAUAUGAAAAAAUAGACUAGUUGAUGUGCUUACUAUUCUUAAAUAUUUCUUAUGUGGAUGGCAGCCGGUUACCACG
rnacentral:ncRNA from 1 species